rnacentral:rRNA from 1 species
GACGUAGGGCGCGAGCGUUGUCCGGAUUUAUUGGGCGUAAAGAGCUCGUAGGCGGCUUGUUGCGUCGGCUGUGAAAACCCCAUGGCUCAACCGUGGGCUUGCAGCCGAUACGGGCAGGCUAGAGUUCGGUAGGGGAGAGGUGAAUUCCUGGUGUAGCGGUGAAAUGCGUAGAGAUCAGGAAGAACAUCGGUGGCGAAGGCGCUCUGCUGGACCAUAACUGACACUCAGGGACGAAAGCUAGGGGAGCGAAUGGG